GGCGGGGAGGUAGACGGACCAAACCCUCGAGUGUUCGCACUCGUCCGGCGACCGGAGGGCUACGCAGCACGCGGACGGAUGACCGUUUCUAACUCAUAACCCGAAGGUCGCAGGUUCAAAUCCUGCCCCCGCCACCA
rnacentral:tRNA from 1 species